rnacentral:rRNA from 1 species
AUGUCGCAAGCGUUAUCCGGAUUUAUUGGGCGUAAAGCGCGUCUUGGCGGUUUGGUAAGUCUGAUGUGAAAAUGCGGGGCUCAACUCCGUAGUGCGUUGGAAACUGUCAAACUAGAGUACUGGAGAGGUAGGCGGAACUACAAGUGUAGAGGUGAAAUUCGUAGAUAUUUGUAGGAAUGCCGAUAGAGAAGUCAGCUCACUGGACAGAUACUGACACUGAAGCGCGAAAGCAUGGGGAGCAA